rnacentral:rRNA from 1 species
UACGUAGGGUGCGAGCGUUGUCCGGAAUUAUUGGGCGUAAAGAGCUUGUAGGCGGUCUGUCGCGUCUGCUGUGAAAACUUGGGGCUCAACCCCAAGCUUGCGGUCGAUACGGGCAGGCUAGAGUUCGGUAGGGGAGACUGGAAUUCCUGGUGUAGCGGUGAAAUGCGCAGAUAUCAGGAGGAACACCGGUGGCGAAGGCGGGUCUCUGGGCCGAUACUGACGCUGAGGAGCGAAAGCGUGGGGAGCGAACAGG